GACGAACGCUGGCGGCGCGCCUAACACAUGCAAGUCGAACGGAGCGCACUAGAAGAAGCCUUCGGGUGGAUUUUGGUGUUUGCUUAGUGGCGAACGGGUGAGUAACACGUGAGCAACCUACCUUUCGGCGGGGGACAACAUUUGGAAACAGAUGCUAAUACCGCGUAAGACCACGGUGUCGCAUGACACAGUGGCCAAAGCUUAAUGCACCGAAAGAUGGGCUCGCGCCUGAUUAGAUAGUUGGUGGGGUAACGGCCCACCAAGUCGACGAUCAGUAGCCGGACUGAGAGGUCGAACGGCCACAUUGGGACUGAGACACGGCCCAGACUCCUACGGGAGGCAGCAGUGGGGAAUAUUGUACAAUGGGGGAAACCCUGAUACAGCGACGCCGCGUGAGGGAAGAAGGUUUUCGGAUUGUAAACCUCUGUCUUCGGGGACGAUAAUGACGGUACCCGAGGAGGAAGCCACGGCUAACUACGUGCCAGCAGCCGCCGUAACAC
rnacentral:rRNA from 1 species